rnacentral:rRNA from 1 species
UACAGAGGUCUCGAGCGUUAGGCGGAAUCACUGGGCUUAAAGCGUGUGUAGGCGGAUUGCUAAGUACCUUGUGAAAUCCCACGGCUUAACCGUGGAACUGCUUGGUAUACUGGCUGUCUUGAGCCACUUAGGGGCAACCGGAACAAACGGUGGAGCGGUGAAAUGCGUAGAUAUCGUUUGGAACGCCAAUGGUGAAAAUAGGUUGCUGGGAGUGUGCUGACGCUGAGACACGAAAGCCAGGGGAGCAAACGGG